GACGAACGCUGGCGGCGUGCUUAACACAUGCAAGUCGAACGGAAAGGCCCUGCUUUUGUGGGGUGCUCGAGUGGCGAACGGGUGAGUAACACGUGAGUAACCUGCCCUUGACUUUGGGAUAACUUCAGGAAACUGGGGCUAAUACCGGAUAGGAGCUCCUGCUGCAUGGUGGGGGUUGGAAAGUUUCGGCGGUUGGGGAUGGACUCGCGGCUUAUCAGCUUGUUGGUGGGGUAGUGGCUUACCAAGGCUUUGACGGGUAGCCGGCCUGAGGGUGACCGGCGACAUUGGGACUGAGAUACGGCCCAGACUCCUACGGGAGGCAGCAGUGGGGAAUAUUGCACAAUGGGCGGAAGCCUGAUGCAGCAACGCCGCGUGCGGGAUGACGGCCUUCGGGUUGUAAACCGCUUUCGCCUGUGACGAAGCGUGAGUGACGGUAAUGGGUAAAGAAGCACCGGCUAACUACGUG
rnacentral:rRNA from 1 species